CGCGUAGGCGGUUCGCUAAGUUGAAUGUGAAAACUCUGGGCUUAACCCAGAGCCUGCAUCCAAAACUGGCGAACUGGAGUACUGGAGGGGAAAGCGGAAUUCCUGGUGUAGCGGUGAAAUGCGUAGAUAUCAGGAGGAACACCGGUGGCGAAGGCGGCUUUCUGGACAGUAACUGACGCUGAGGCGCGAAAGCCGGGGGAGCAAACA
rnacentral:rRNA from 1 species